CCUACGUGAGGCAGCAGUGAGGAAUAUUGGUCAAUGGGCGCGAGCCUGAACCAGCCAAGUCGCGUGAAGGAUGACUGCCCUACGGGUUGUAAACUUCUUUUAUAAAGGAAUCAAGUGAGGCACGUGUGCCUUUUUGUAGGUACUUUAUGAAUAAGGCUCGGCUAACUCCGUGCCAGCAGCCGCGGUAAUACGGAGGCUCCGAGCGUUAUCCGGAUUUAUUGGGUUUAAAGGGAGCGUAGAUGGGUUGUUAAGUCAGUUGUGAAAGUUUGCGGCUCAACCGUAAAAUUGCAAUUGAUACUGGCAGUCUUGAGUACAGUUGAGGUAGGCGGAAUUCGUGGUGUAGCGGUGAAAUGCUUAGAUAUCACGAAGAACUCCGAUUGCGAAGGCAGCUUACUAAACUGCCACUGACAUUGAUGCUCGAAAGUGUGGGUAUCAAACAGGAUUAGAUACCCCAGUAGUC
rnacentral:rRNA from 1 species